AUAUAAAACUGGACAUUACAGCUUUGUCUCAGGCAAAUAUUUCACUUUUCCUCCUGAAGUCCAUUCAGUUAACAUCUCCAUUAACACAAAAUACAUGUACUCUGGUAAUUCUUAACACUAAGUUGCUUCUACUUACUCGUGUUUUGAAAGUGAGAAGAAAUAAUUGCUGAAACAAUAAGAAUGAAACCAUUUUGUGUUCACACUGCUUCUCUGUGCUCUGGGCUCAUCUUAGUAAUUUGACAACUGGAAGGAGAAAAGAUUUUUCGGUUUGGUAAAUACCAGAUGCUGUAUGAGGUAAUGUUCAAACAGAACUGCCUGCCUCAAGUUGUCCUCUGACCUUUACACACCUAUCUCGCCUGUGCAUGUGUGCACACAAAAUAACAAGAAAGAAGAAUUUUGUGAAAAGAAAAUUGCAGGCUGGGCAGUAGUGGGUGGCGCAUGCCUUUAAUCCCAGCACUCAGGAGGCAGAGGCAGGCCGAUCUCAGGGAGUUUGAGGACAGCCAGGGCUACAUGCAGAAACCCUGCCUUGGAAAAAGAAAGAAAAAGAAAAUCACAGAAGAUACAUGGAACCAAGCUGGGAAGAGAAUAUUUCUUUGCGCCCGUCUGUUCACACACCCUUUCCAAAACUAAGAAAUUACAGACUUUCAUAAUACCUCUUGCUGACAAAUGUUACCCAAAAACUCUGUAUAUUUCUUUGAAAUGGAUAGCAGUCCGAGUAUACACGGAGAGUGUGCUGUGGGUAAUCCAUGUUACCAUGGUAAUGACUUAGCAUCAAAAUCGUCCAUGUUUUUGAGGGCAGUGCUUCUCAGCAACAAUCAUGUUAAUUGGAUAUGACAUAAAAGAGGGACAGAUGCUUUAAUUGUCUUAUAUCCUCCUUCCAAAGGAGAUAGAAGCCUCUUAAGGCUUAACUCCUUAAUUUCUGAAUUCUCCCUAAAUGGUAAGAUAGUUUGAAAGCUGCCCUAGUUUAAAAGGUUUGUUUUGGUUAGAGCCUUGAUCCUUUACAAUAAAAAGUGCUGAAUUACC